rnacentral:misc_RNA from 1 species
CCCUUGUGGAGAAGGACGCCGAAGGUGGGGCUGAUGACUGGGGUGAAGUCGUAACAAGGUAGCCGUACCGGAAGGUGCGGCUGGAUCACCUCCUAACAGGGAGACAAUAAAUCGAUUGUGAUGUCUAAGUGAUUUAUUCUUAGGCCGCAAUCCUGUCACCUUAAGGUCGAUCGGUACCUCAGAUUUCUGAAUUAGUUGAUAAUUAAUUCCUUGAUUUCAGUUCCUAAACUUGUCUAGGUCACACCCAACAAAGGUUUCUCCUGGGCCAUUAGCUCAGGUGGUUAGAGCGCACCCCUGAUAAGGGUGAGGUCCCUGGUUCAAGUCCAGGAUGGCCCAUUCGUUGUUGGGGGUAUAGCUCAGUUGGUAGAGCGCCUGCUUUGCAAGCAGGAUGUCAGCGGUUCGAGUCCGCUUACCUCCACUGAAAACUAUCCUGAUAACUAAAUUCCGGAGAAAAAUUUUAGAGUUGGCUUAGAAUUGUCUAUUUGAAAGAACCUAGCUUCUUAUCAUCUUUUUAUAGUUGAUAAUAUGCUGGGCUCGCAUGGAUUAAUUCCAUGAGAAUUCAGUAGAACCUUGAAAACUGCAUAGAUUAGAAAGAAUAAAGCAUCUCAUGGAUGCAUAAUUCUGUUUUUUAUAAUUCAGCCUCAAAACUAAAUUAUUUAAUAUCAGAAUUCAUGUUUAAUUCUUGAGUAAAAGUCGAGCACAAUUGAUUUUGUGUUUGUAUUUAAGGUCAAGCUACAAAGGGCUCAUGGCG